ensembl:lncRNA
AUGAUAACAAAGAACUUCCAAACAGCCAUUACACUGCAUGAGUAUGUGGGAAACUGCUCAUCAGUCAUUUACAACAGAGGGAAUUUCGCAAUCCUGGAAGAAGGACUAGUAAGUAUAGUCAAAGUGUUCCUCUUUCAUUUUCUCUUUCACCAUUUCCAUACUAGCCCGGUGUGUAACCAGAUAGCUUUCUAAGACCUCUGUUAGCAAGCAGAGUUUGGUGUGCAGGCACCAAUCCUAAUAUUACGGGAGCUCAGAGGUCUUUGAGUGCAGAGCAAAUAGCUUUUAAGAGCAAUGCCAAUUGCUAAAAGGAUCAUAUUACAAUAAUAGAUUUGAAAGCUUAUACUCCAAACAGCAUUGCGAAUGAGAGCUGACAACAGAGAUGAAUUUUGUGAGCUGCUAGGAGCAGAGCAGGACUUGCUUAUUGCACUAAUGAACGUGGCUUGUGGGAAAGCUGACACCUCAUUGAAAUCAGGCCUCUCAAUCACCCAUGAUUACUGUGGGACUCAGAAGGGAUGCAGAAGCAGCUACACGAUGCUGGAUGAGAAGACACCGGAAGCUAUUCAAAUGAGAAGAGAUGGAUGGAUAAUUCUGACGUUCUCAGCCUCAGUCUGGAGAGGGAUCUGGAAGGAGCUGGGAGCCUGCUCAGCUGUUGCUUGACGGACUGCUUUUCAUCCAUUUUGAGAGGAAGCCUCAGAAGCUGAGCUCUCGGGCGGGAAUGGAGGACGAAGUGAGGUGCAAGGGAGCAUGUGGCCCAGAAGAGGCAUACAAAUCCUGCCUACACACUCUAUGCGAACAGCCGGAGCUGACUCACGGGCAGCACAGGAUGAGACUGCCUGCCUAGCAAAUUGAGUGGAUACUUCGGUCAGUGCACCUUGAGCUCCAGGAGGCUGUGCAAAGCAGAGCCCCAGCCAGUCCCCUGGUAACAGCAGGCCUCAGGCCGUGCAGCUGCCGGAGUAGAUGCCACACCAACAGGGCUCUCAUCACGGCAGGGAAACCAGGCUGCUGGCAGUGUGUGACAGGGGGAUGCUCUGGACACAAAGGUGCAACGCAGUGCCCUGCCUGCUGGGUUGGAAUCCCAGGCAGACAAGUGUCACGCUGCAGGUAUGCACGUAGGGUGCUCUGAGAGCCGCUCCUUAAUGAGCUGGUAGCAUGCCAGCCUUUGAUUGGCAUGAGGCAACCACAUGGGUUUUAAUCUCUUCCUCUGCAUGCAUAGUGACUAUUAAUGAGAGGAUUACUGUGAAGUGGCCUGAAACUGAAUGGCAUGUGUAGAAUCUCACGGCUACAUAAGUCACAGGCAAGCUUGGAUAGCACAAGAAAGGUGCAGCCUUCUUCACGUUUUCCAAAAAGAAUUGGGAAGAUCAAAUACUCGGUGUCAAACUCUUGCAUGGAGGUACCCAAACUCAUAACGAACAUCAGCUCUAAAAGUUCUGUUGUCACUGCCAGUAUGUGAAUACCUCGCAUGGGUGUCACCUUGUUCCUCUAGCACCGAAAGUCGAGCGGUGGGAGAGGUGAUCCCAUCAGCUGAGGCAGCUGACAAGCCAGUAACUUCUGCAGAUCAGAUUGUAAAAAAUGUUGUAAACAAGCACGUGCCUGGAUUUACCCUGUAGGACGGUAUAAUACCCGGCUAUGGAACUGCAGGGUCGCUGCUUGCCAAAAUAAGACUGAAUAAGCUGAUGUUUUGCAGGUACUCCAGGCUCACCCUCGUCUCCUGAGCACAUUCUGCAGCACUUCAUAGUUAAGGUUACACAGACACGCUCAGCAAAACAGGAUCCUUUCCACCGGGGUGAGGGGAGCAGAGAGAUGGCUGCUAGCUGCCAGCCUAGAGUGGAAAGUGAGUCAUGGUCAUGAAAUAGGUCAUUUCCACUCCAUGUGAACGCUCUCGCAUAGUAUUCAGGUUAGUUUCUGUAACAAGGAACAGUCUGGGCUCAGGUUUACUUCUGGGCUUGCCGCUUCUGCUGCAGAUAAGCAGGAAAAAAUAAGCUGUAUAAAAAUGGGUGUUUUCAGCUGAUGAACGUAUGACUGUGGAUUCUGGCAAAAUUAUUCUAACUUCCACUGAUUGAACAUGUGGUUUAGUUUUGUUUCAUGCAUCCAGGCAGCUUCUUUAAAAAAGAAGAAGAAAAAAAUCUCAGUAGCAGCUGCAUUGGCUUCCGCUAAUAUUUGCUUCCCUAACUGAAAACCUGAGCAGUCCAGCAAAAGAUGAAACCCUUUCUUUAUUCUUAUUUCAAAUCAUGUCUUCGAAAUGCGAGUUUCUGCUGGCAGAUAGAACACGAGCUUAUCUACAGCGAGCGGGAGGCUGUGCUGUGAGCCCUACUUUGGGGAAGCCUCUUUGACCCCAAGCAGGAUAUUCUACAACAUCUGAAGAUUGAGUGAUGAUAGCAAUAUUUUUUCCAGGACGUUUCUCGGAGAAGAGGGAGGGGUGUGGUUAUCGUUGUCAUUUCACCGUAGCAGAUAGAACGCUGUCUGGAGACACCGCCCUUGCUGGAAAAUUGAUUAAGGUCUGGAUUUGGAAGCAAAAGACCACCUCUGCUGCUUUGCUAACUGAUAAGAAGAAGUUGGUCUGUGUCUGCGGGAGGGACUUUCCCCAAAACUCUGCACCUGUGGAUACCAGCCAUCAGACACCGCCACUUCACAUGCACCUCCAGCUCUGAGGGUCCGCCAAAGUCAUCCUAGCUUGCAAGAUCCUAUCCUAUAUAAAGGACAAGAAAUAGGUGUGAGACAGGAGGCAGGAAAUGUGUCAUUUCACUAUAACUGUGCAGAAAAUGGUCAGAUGCUGUGGAUAGUCACUGGGGAAGCUGAGGGAGCCAUGCCCCUGAGCAUCCAUUCCAGCACAGCUCUAAAGGAGUCUAUGGCUGAGUUGCUUGGGAGGCAACACACCUAGCACAGAGAUACACACUUCUGCCAAGGAAGUCCUUCAGUCUUAGGAACUCCUAAAGAUCCACCUGACUUGAACAUCUUUUGCUUUUGUGGUGGAACUCAGCUGCAGAUCAUGGCAGGGAUCUUCACCAGCUUGACACAUUCACCAAAAGAAGAACAAUCUGAGCUAAUAAAAGAAGGAAAUGAAUUAGGAAGCAAUUUGUUGAACUGGAUUUUAUUCUUUACUAAAACUUAAAUCUUGUUUGAUCGGACUUUUGUUUUUAUUGCCUUGUUCUCAGCCUUUUUGCUGUGAUUUUAACAUUUCCUUUUUGGCUUUUGUAGCCUUCAUCCUGAUGUACAGAAUUCAGAAUAAAGGUGAAUUUAGUUAUCCCAUGGGGACAUACGAAGGAAAGACAAAUCAAACUGAACGAGAGCCUUGGUAGAAAACGCAGCGUAUCUAACAAUGCAUAAUUGGCAACAGAAAACGUGUCAGAUGGGAUUUGUUUGGAGAAGAACUUCCAAAGAAGGCUGAGAGCCAAGCUGAAGUAGUCACCUAAAGUUACUUUAAGAUUUAUGUGCUGAUGAUAGACUGUGGGGCAAAGCAUUCACACGGGGAAGGCCAUGCUCACUAGUUCACUUGGUCAAUUCUCAAUAAAGAAUUACCAGCCCUGAGUGAUAUUGCUUGGAACAGGUAUCUACCAUUAAAAUUUUAAAAACACGGAAUAAAAUGCAGAUCAUCGUGAUGUAGAUCUUACAGCUCCAGGAUGAUGCUAAAACUACACUCUAUUUGGCUAUGGUAACACGUCCAAUUCUCAUCUGCUUCAGACAGAAAAUGUUUAUAGAAAAAUAACUGAGCAAGGUUAAUCAGAACGUACUCAAACUUUUCUGUCUUAUCAACAAAAUCUUUGUAAAGGUAUUCAAACAGUGGGUUGCUUUCCAGAGAGAAUAAACAGCAAGGUAUCAAUAGCAGAGCUUGUAAUACACUAUGACCUGAUAGCAGCCUUUCAAUAUCUAAAAGGGAGCUACAGGAAAGAAGAGACAGACUCUCUAGCAGGGUGUGUGGUGGUAUAACAAGGGCAAAUGGUUUCAAGCUUAAAGAGGGUAGAUUUAGGCUGGAUACAAGGAAAAACUCUUUUACUGUGGGGGUGGUGAGGCACUGGAACAGGUUGCCCAGUGCUGUGGUUGAUGCUCCAGAAAGACUGUCAAGAAGAGGCUGGAUCAGGCUCUGAGCAACCUGAUCUAGCUGUGGUGUCCCUGUUCAUUGCAGGGGAGUUGGACUAGAUGGCCUUUAAAGGUCUCUUCCAACUCUGAGGAUUCUAUGACUCUAUGCAGGCUAUGCAGUCUAAGCUGCUACAAAAUAAAGAAAUAGCUGCUCAUUUGGGGAUGUCAGUGAGAGAUCAGCAUAGCGUUGUUGGCAGGCGGGGAAUGCGUUGUUCAAACAGAGAGAGAAAUAAUAAGUCAAGAUACGUGCAAUGUUUCAUCUUUUCUAUUCCCUGUACUCAGGAUUAACGCUUUCAUGUACGGAAUAUGCUAGAAGAUGGGGAUAAGGUGGCAGAUGAAAUUCAUUAAUGAGAGACACAAGCCAGGGGACAGAUAGAACAUGAUAAAUUGGUCUCCUUGUGCAGAACACUGAUUACUAAACCAUGAUGACUGCUCCGAAAGUAAUGCAUCCUGUUUUAUUAUAUUGGCCCAUUAUAUCAGAGGCAAAUGUUGGUAGUAUGGCAGUAGAUGCUGAACCUCCCCACCAAUAUUCCAUUAUAUUUUGUUGCUGUAAGACAGAUGGUGGUAGAGGGACAGUCUGACAAAAUGGCAUCUGACAUGGAAGUGUGUAUAAAGCAAAGGGGCGGAACUGAAUUCCUCCUUGUGAAAAAAAUAGCACUCAGCAGUGGCAACAGUGACAGUGGGUCACCUCCACCGGUGCAGAUGUUUACAAGCAUGAAAUGCAGGCUCUGGUUCAUUGCUGGUGAAGAUGCAUAGCAAAUGGUGGUGACUGUGUUGAAAAAGUGCUUUGUAGCUGAGAAUUUACUCUAUCAAGUACUGUUAUUGUGCUCCUUGUAUCCAUUGUUGUUUACAUGGAAAUAAAUAGGAGGCAUUACUUUCAGAGAUACCUAUAUAUGUACUUCUUGCUGCUUAGGGAAGAGAUCUUGGGGUCACUGUGGUUAACGCUCCAAAAAUGGUUAUGGAUGACUCAGAGAAAGUCAGAAAGAUUCUAAGAGAGAAGAGUGAAACAAAAACAAUCGUUUCACUGUCUGAAUUUAUCAUCCACCUACACUGUGGUUAUUGCAGGCAGUUCUGUUCCCCAGCCUCAGAAAGGACUGUCAAGUGAAAGAAAGGUUAGGGAAAGCUACAGGAUGAUCAGAGCUAUGGAAUGUGAGGGGAAAGUAGAGAGACUGCAGUUUUUUGUGUUUUGGUUUCUUUUUUAUCUUGAAAAAGAGAGAAUUGUGAGGAAAUGUAAUAGCUAUAAAACCAAGACAGCGGGGGAGGAGAUAGAUAGGAAGCACUUACUCAUUACAACCUGCAUCAGAAAAACUAGAAUAAUCAGGCAGUAUUAUUGGUUUAAAUCGUUACACACAGAGCACAAUUGUGCUGUGGAAUUCAUUCCCACAGGAUGCCAUGGCAGACAAAAAUAAAUUAAGUCACAAGAAAAUACCAGACAAUUUACAGGGAAUACCUCAGUCAAGACCUUAAUAAUGCAAUAUGCCCUCUCCUGAUCCAGAAAACCUCUAGCUGCUGAUGGCUGGACAGGUACAUCAGAGAAAAAAUCACCUUGUUCAUGAUGCUUUUGCUCUAUCUCUACUCAUCUGCUAUGGACGACAGUCAGAAAUAGGAUGCUGGGUCAGACGGACUGGUACAGAUGACCAUAUUGCCCAGGCUUGCACUUGCUGUGUGAUCUGGGUAACAGGUCACAAUGCCAUCAAAAAGUGAGCAUUAUGUAUAAGAGCUGAGUUUUCCAAAGAAACUGCAGCCAUUAACGGAGCAUUAAGUUGACCAGAAGUGUCAGUAAUAAUAAAAUUAAAUACAGAAGUAAAGUCAUGCUUUUACAAGUCUUUAGAAAUAAUAGUAACCUCAUUCAAUCAACAGAAGAUUGAUUCAUUGGAUACCUGCUUUCCUUGCCAGGUUCUUUUUUCCCUUUGGGAGUGCAGAACAAAUAUAAGAAACCAAUCAUCAGGGUCCUUAAUUUACACCCAAAUUAAAGAAACAUCAUUUAUUACAAGGAGGAGUUAUUGCUCCACUCAAGGUGGGAAUGUGAAACUUUUUAAAGCCAGUGACUUUUUACAGUUCAGUCACAAAACCACUCCCCACAGGGUGUCUGCUAGGUGGCCCUCAUGGUGCUUUGCUGCAAGAAAAGCUCCCACGCAAAGGAACAGAUUGAGGUACUCUGUGAAAGAGUGAAAAACCCGUAGCUUUUGUCUCAGUAUAUAAAAGCUCUUCCUAAUUCUAUUUCAAGACAGAUGAACUUUUGAUAAAUAAUAACCCAUCUGGGUUCUGCAAAUGCCUUGAUAGCCAUAGAGUGAGUGCCUACCAUAGCACAGGUCUUUCUAGACAAUGCUACAGAGGCCCCUCCCCCAUAGAACAGUGAGUAUCAGCACCCGAUGGGGACAUAAUAUUUACUGUGGGUAUUGUAUGGUAACUGUUGAGUCAGGGCCUGAACCACUGAUUCAGCACCUGGGAAAGGACCCGGUCAGCCCUGGGAGCACAGGUGAAGGCAAUUCUGCUGUGUGACCAGAAGGGGUGGAGCCUGGCUGCGCCUCUCUUAGACCUCAUUUAAGGGCUGACCCCUACUAGGAGGGAUUUCUGGUUGGAGAUCUUUUCUUUGUGGAGCUUUCCCUGUGAGCCUUGAUGCGCAAAAAUUGGUGAGCACUUUUCCUUUUAACACCAUUCCAUUUGUGCUAGCCCCUUUGCUGCUAUGCCCCUUUAUUGCCCUUCCACUGCGCUGACCUUUCUGAUUGUAACAGCUAUGAAACAGUAAAUCAGAUAUAUAAGUAUUUGUAAGUAAUAAGAUACAAAUAUCAAUUAAAAAAUAUUAAUAGCAAAUAUAAAUAAAUAACAUUAGCAUACCUUUAGAAGAACACAUGCAUAUACACUUAUGUCUUCAAUAUAUUCAAGUUGCAUUUUUUUUUUUUUUUACCAGAAACUGUGCAGAUGGAUCUGCAUGACAGUACUCAAACGCAUUCAUUAUCUCUGGUUAUUUGCUUUUUUUUUUUUUUUCCCAGCAAUUCUAUGCCUUUUGUUUUAAAGAGUUGUCUUUGAACUCCUGUCAAAUGUUAGCAUUUGCCUAAAAUGUUUUGUUUCAGUGAAUGGAUACGUCUGUGGAUUGUUUGAAUAAAACUGACUGUAAUAUAGAAACUUUUCUGCAAAAAACUUUUGGUAGCUUUUCACUCUACAGGAAAGAAAGGACAUUUUUUUUGUUGAAAAGGAUUUCUCAGAUACAAAUUUUUGACUAGUUGUAAGAGAAUGUCAAAGAAAGGAAAACAUUUGGGUCUCUUGACUCUUGCCAACUCCUGCUGCUACUAUUUAUUUUUAGUUUAUUACUUUACUUUUUUUUUAUUACCAAGCAUUUAUUAUUACUGUAAUGGUGCCCAGAGCCCUCGCCACCAUAGUGACUGCACCUUGCAAGCAGGACAGUGCUCGCGGCCCCAAGCUGAUGAAGUUCAAGAAGUGUUUGGAUUACACUUUCAGACAUAGUGUUUGAAUUUUGGGUGGCGUUGCAUGAAGCUGGGGGUUGGACUUUGAUCCUUGUGAGUCCCCUCCAACUACGGAUAUUCUGUGAGUGAUGUGGACCAUGUGGAGGGAGUGAGAGAAGACUGAUGAAACUUUAGUGAAAAGUCAUAAGGAGCUGUAUCUGCUGAGGUUGGGAGAAGGGGCUUCAACACAUAAUGCUCCUUCUGUGUCACUCAGUCUAGUCACUCAGAAGAAGAGCAGACUUGGAUAGUACACCAAAUGUUGAAUCCAUGUUCUUUAUAAAUACAGAGGGGUUAAGAAGAAGGUAUGAGGAGGCUGAAGACACCCUUGAUUAGAAGGCUAAGCACCUGAUAAAGGAGUCAAGUGGAAAAGAUGAAGGUGGAGGGGUGUAUGGCUGAAUAAGAGAGGGGCUGGUGAUUUUGCUGUCAAAGCAAAGGACUGGGAGGUUUUGACUGGGAGCACCUGAAACAAGCAUGAUGUAAGCCUGAAGAAUAAGGAAAUGAAGGGCUGAAGAAGAUCAGGCUGGUAGGGCAUUGAAGCAAGGUGGGGAUGCAGGGAUGUAGCAGCACUCUCCCAGCCAGUACUAUAAAUAGAAAUAAUUCCCUUGAGGCUAAUGGAUUCAGUUUGGCUUUCAUUAGGUGAGGACAGUGAGGGGAUGAAAGAAAAUGAUGACGGUCAUGCUAGAGAGAGCUCUGGAACAUAACUCAUCUCUACAAUGACUGACUCAGGCAGGGCCACACAGCCACGGAUAAAACAGCUGGGGAAAUAACUCCCUGCUUGCCUUGGUGCUGAGGCUGGGGGACAGAAAGUGAGUUACCUACUGCCACUUUAUGUCAGCAGUGGCGUAAUAUUAAUCUUCUAAUGAUCUAAG